AAUGAACGCUGGCGGCAGGCCUAACACAUGCAAGUCGAACGGAUCCUUCGGGAUUAGUGGCGGACGGGUGAGUAACGCGUGGGAACAUACCCUUUGGUACGGAAUAGCCUCGGGAAACUGGGAGUAAUACCGUAUGUGGUCGAGAGACGAAAGAUUUAUCGCCAAAGGAUUGGCCCGCGUUGGAUUAGGUAGUUGGUGGGGUAAUGGCCUACCAAGCCGACGAUCCAUAGCUGGUUUGAGAGGAUGAUCAGCCACACUGGGACUGAGACACGGACCAGACUCCUACGGGAGGCAGCAGUGGGGAAUCGUAGACAAUGGGGGAAACCCUGAUCUAGCCAUGCCGCGUGAUCGAUGAAGGCCUUAGGGUUGUAAAGAUCUUUCAGGUGGGAAGAUAAUGACUGUACCACCAGAAGAAGCCCCGGCUAACUCCGUGCCAGCCGCCGCAGUAA
rnacentral:rRNA from 1 species